AGAGUUGUAGCUCAGUGGUAGAGCAUCUGCUUGGCAGGCAGAAGGUCUCUGGUUCAAUCCCUGGCAUCUCCA